UACGUAGGGGGCAAGCGUUGUCCGGAUUUAUUGGGCGUAAAGAGCGUGUAGGCGGUUUGGUAGGUCCGCUGUGAAAACUCGAGGCUCAACCUCGAGACGCCGGUGGAAACCAUCAGACUAGAGUCCGGAAGAGGAGAGUGGAAUUCCUGGUGUAGCGGUGAAAUGCGCAGAUAUCAGGAAGAACGCCCGUGGCUAAGGCGGCUCUCUAGUACGGUACUGACGCUGAGACGCGAAAGCGUGGGGAGCGAACAGG
rnacentral:rRNA from 1 species